CAGGCUCGUAAGCCGCGGGCAGUGUAGUUUCUCCAGAGGGGUGGUCGCAGCUGCAGCAGCGGUGACGCUCUGAGGGGAAAGCGGGGAAAUCACCUCUUUUUGAGAGGAGCUGGCGCAGCCGCUGCGCAGGGAGGCCGCCUCGGGCCGGCCGGGCCUGCGGCUUCCAGGCCGAGUUUCCCCGAGGACACAGUGCGGAGCCUGUGCGCUCUGCAGGGCGAGCUGCUCCUAGACUGGGGAAAGAGGGUUACCCUGGUACGUCCGUUUUCCUCUGUCCUCGUAGCUUACUGCCAUUCUCRUGCCCGCUGAGUUGAGUUUGUUUGCACUGCACUGAUGCCUCCCGAAUUUACCCAAAAAAGCCCUCGAUUAUGCUGUCCACGUGUGCGAUCUUGACUGAUAUUUCCACAAGCUCCGAUCAGUCAUGACUCCSCAAGAAGUAACUUACCAUGCUACAGCCGCUUAUUCCAAGUUCGAGUCAGAGCUGGCCAUCGGGACUGCAGGAAAAAGAACGACGCGAYGCUGCUUCCUCCACCUCAGUGGCGAGCCGCGGCCCCUCUGGAGCACAGCGGCGGGGAAAGCCGACAGCGGCUUACAGAAGAGAAUCUGCUUCAGAUGAUGUGGAACAGAGGACUCCUGUAAAGCUCUUGGCUUGGAAUCCUUCAGGAUAUAUGGSUUGCUCAAAUAUGACUUAAAGUUCUGCCUGUCUUCUAGAAGAGAGGGUUGCCAGAUUUGAAGAGGUGUUGCUGCUGAGCACGUAUGUGAAAUCUGUACAAAACCCUCAAUAUUAAUUAAUUUUUAUUUUACUAUUUUUCCAGUUGAUCACUGACGUCGGCACGUCAUACUGUGGUCACAGGCUUCUGUAGACUUAACUUCAGAAAAAGUUAAUCGACACAUUGAAAUUUCCUUUGGGCUUAUUCCUUAACAUUCUGGGCUUUCUUCAUGUAGGCACCUUCAUAACUAAGGAGAGUUAUAACAGUCUAUUAAUAAUACUAGUUGCUUCCUUAUUGUAUGUGCAUGUUAAUGAAGUUUGAUCUCUCUUUCUGUAACUCAGCUUUUUCAUACUAAGGAUGAAUGAUGUUUUCAGGAUGGAGGAGGACUCCAGCAUUAAGAUUUUGAAUAUUUGGGUAAUCCUACCACAUUGGCAGUUUUAUUAUGAUGCUUAUAAUCACUUAUGACUGUUUCUAGUAGGGAAAAAAAGGCCUUACCUGUGUUCUUAAGUUACCUCUGAGACACUUCCUCACUAAAAAUCUUUGCAAAUAGUGGGGCAGUUGCUGUAUGUAGCAAGAARCCGCAAAGUAUGAUUCAUAGCAUGAUGGGAGUACAGAUAACUCAGACUUUCUGUUGAAAUUACUUGUCAAAUUAAUCAUCAUUGCAUUUAUGUACAAAAUGCUACUGCAGAGGAAAAGAUAGUCUACAACAGUGUAAGUCUAUAACAGGAUUUUUGAUCUUUCAGCCUUCCCUAAGUAUCAGGAGUAAUAGGUUAGGUACAUACCUAAAGCAUGUAUUCAUCAUGAAGCUGAAGAAAAAAUUAUAAAAAUUACAAGAGUGUCACAAUAGAUGAACUACUGUCAUAGUCAGUACAUGACAUACCACUGCUGCCUGCUGCAUGUUGUAACUCAUGGUACUUAUAGAUAGGAAUCAGCUCUUUUUGCUCUCUGAAAAUCUGCCAGAAUUUACCUGUUUUGCUUUUAA
rnacentral:lncRNA from 1 species